UACGUAGGGGGCAAGCGUUGUCCGGAUUUAUUGGGCGUAAAGAGCGUGUAGGCGGCUAAAUAGGUCCGUUGUGAAAACUCGAGGCUCAACCUCGAGAUGCCGAUGGAAACCAUUUGGCUAGAGUCCGGAAGAGGAGAGUGGAAUUCCCGGUGUAGCGGUGAAAUGCGCAGAUAUCGGGAAGAACACCCGUGGCUAAGGCGGCUCACUGGCCCGGUACUGACGCUGAGGUGCGAAAGCGUGGGGAGCAAACAGG
rnacentral:rRNA from 1 species